rnacentral:rRNA from 1 species
CGUGUAGGCGGUCUAUCGAGUCAGGCGUGAAAGCCCCGGGCUUAACCUGGGAACUGCGUUUGAUACUGAUAGACUAGAGGUUGGAAGAGGAGAGUGGAAUUCCCAGUGUAGAGGUGAAAUUCGUAGAUAUUGGGAAGAACACCAGUGGCGAAGGCGACUCUCUGGUCCAUACCUGACGCUGAGGCGCGAAAGCGUGGGAGCAAACAGGAUUAGAUACCCUGGUAGUCC